CUGUGAGCUCGAUGAGUAGGGCGGGACACGUGGUAUCCUGUCUGAAUAUGGGGGGACCAUCCUCCAAGGCUAAAUACUCCUGACUGACCGAUAGUGAACCAGUACCGUGAGGGAAAGGCGAAAAGAACCCCGGCGAGGGGAGUGAAAAAGAACCUGAAACCGUGUACGUACAAGCAGUGGGAGCACAGAGCAAUCUGUGUGACUGCGUACCUUUUGUAUAAUGGGUCAGCGACUUAUAUUCUGUAGCAAGGUUAACCGAAUAGGGGAGCCGAAGGGAAACCGAGUCUUAACUGGGCGUUAAGUUGCAGGGUAUAGACCCGAAACCCGGUGAUCUAGCCAUGGGCAGGUUGAAGGUUGGGUAACACUAACUGGAGGACCGAACCGACUAAUGUUGAAAAAUUAGCGGAUGACUUGUGGCUGGGGGUGAAAGGCCAAUCAAACCGGGAGAUAGCUGGUUCUCCCCGAAAGCUAUUUAGGUAGCGCCUCGUGAAUUCAUCUCCGGGGGUAGAGCACUGUUUCGGCAAGGGGGUCAUCCCGACUUACCAACCCGAUGCAAACUGCGAAUACCGGAGAAUGUUAUCACGGGAGACACACGGCGGGUGCUAACGUCCGUCGUGAAGAGGGAAACAACCCAGACCGCCAGCUAAGGUCCCAAAGUCAUGGUUAAGUGGGAAACGAUGUGGGAAGGCCCAGACAGCCAGGAUGUUGGCUUAGAAGCAGCCAUCAUUUAAAGAAAGCGUAAUAGCUCACUGGUCGAGUCGGCCUGCGCGGAAGAUGUAACGGGGCUAAACCAUGCACCGAAGCUGCGGCAGCGACGCUUAUGCGUUGUUGGGUAGGGGAGCGUUCUGUAAGCCUGUGAAGGUGUACUGUGAGGUAUGCUGGAGGUAUCAGAAGUGCGAAUGCUGACAUAAGUAACGAUAAAGCGGGUGAAAAGCCCGCUCGCCGGAAGACCAAGGGUUCCUGUCCAACGUUAAUCGGGGCAGGGUGAGUCGACCCCUAAGGCGAGGCCGAAAGGCGUAGUCGAUGGGAAACAGGUUAAUAUUCCUGUACUUGGUGUUACUGCGAAGGGGGGACGGAGAAGGCUAUGUUGGCCGGGCGACGGUUGUCCCGGUUUAAGCGUGUAGGCUGGUUUUCCAGGCAAAUCCGGAAAAUCAAGGCUGAGGCGUGAUGACGAGGCACUACGGUGCUGAAGCAACAAAUGCCCUGCUUCCAGGAAAAGCCUCUAAGCAUCAGGUAACAUCAAAUCGUACCCCAAACCGACACAGGUGGUCAGGUAGAGAAUACCAAGGCGCUUGAGAGAACUCGGGUGAAGGAACUAGGCAAAAUGGUGCCGUAACUUCGGGAGAAGGCACGCUGAUAUGUAGGUGAAGUCCCUCGCGGAUGGAGCUGAAAUCAGUCGAAGAUACCAGCUGGCUGCAACUGUUUAUUAAAAACACAGCACUGUGCAAACACGAAAGUGGACGUAUACGGUGUGACGCCUGCCCGGUGCCGGAAGGUUAAUUGAUGGGGUCAGCGCAAGCGAAGCUCUUGAUCGAAGCCCCGGUAAACGGCGGCCGUAACUAUAACGGUCCUAAGGUAGCGAAAUUCCUUGUCGGGUAAGUUCCGACCUGCACGAAUGGCGUAAUGAUGGCCAGGCUGUCUCCACCCGAGACUCAGUGAAAUUGAACUCGCUGUGAAGAUGCAGUGUACCCGCGGCAAGACGGAAAGACCCCGUGAACCUUUACUAUAGCUUGACACUGAACAUUGAGCCUUGAUGUGUAGGAUAGGUGGGAGGCUUUGAAGUGUGGACGCCAGUCUGCAUGGAGCCGACCUUGAAAUACCACCCUUUAAUGUUUGAUGUUCUAACGUGGACCCGUAAUCCGGGUUGCGGACAGUGUCUGGUGGGUAGUUUGACUGGGGCGGUCUCCUCCUAAAGAGUAACGGAGGAGCACGAAGGUUGGCUAAUCCUGGUCGGACAUCAGGAGGUUAGUGCAAUGGCAUAAGCCAGCUUGACUGCGAGCGUGACGGCGCGAGCAGGUGCGAAAGCAGGUCAUAGUGAUCCGGUGGUUCUGAAUGGAAGGGCCAUCGCUCAACGGAUAAAAGGUACUCCGGGGAUAACAGGCUGAUACCGCCCAAGAGUUCAUAUCGACGGCGGUGUUUGGCACCUCGAUGUCGGCUCAUCACAUCCUGGGGCUGAAGUAGGUCCCAAGGGUAUGGCUGUUCGCCAUUUAAAGUGGUACGCGAGCUGGGUUUAGAACGUCGUGAGACAGUUCGGUCCCUAUCUGCCGUGGGCGCUGGAGAACUGAGGGGGGCUGCUCCUAGUACGAGAGGACCGGAGUGGACGCAUCACUGGUGUUCGGGUUGUCAUGCCAAUGGCACUGCCCGGUAGCUAAAUGCGGAAGAGAUAAGUGCUGAAAGCAUCUAAGCACGAAACUUGCCCCGAGAUGAGUUCUCCCUGAC
rnacentral:rRNA from 1 species